GAUGAACGCUAGCGGCAGGCCUAACACAUGCAAGUCGAGGGGUAGGGUUAGCUUGCUAACUUGAGACCGGCGCACGGGUGCGUAACGCGUAUGCAAUCUACCUUGUACAGGGGGAUAGCCCAGGGAAAUUUGGAUUAAUACCCCAUGGUGUUAUGAUGUGGCAUCACAUUAUAACUAAAGUUCCAACGGUACAAGAUGAGCAUGCGUCCCAUUAGCUAGUUGGUGUGGUAACGGCAUACCAAGGCAAUGAUGGGUAGGGGUCCUGAGAGGGAGAUCCCCCACACUGGUACUGAGACACGGACCAGACUCCUACGGGAGGCAGCAGUGAGGAAUAUUGGUCAAUGGGCGCAAGCCUGAACCAGCCAUGCCGCGUGCAGGAUGACGGUCCUAUGGAUUGUAAACUGCUUUUAUACGGGAAGAAACACUCCUACGUGUAGGAACUUGACGGUACCGUAAGAAUAAGGAUCGGCUAACUCCGUGCCAGCCGCCGCGGUAA
rnacentral:rRNA from 1 species